rnacentral:rRNA from 1 species
UACAGAGGUGGCAAGCGUUGUUCGGAAUUACUGGGCGUAAAGGGCGCGUAGGCGGCCUUCUAAGUCGAACGUGAAAUCCCCAGGCUCAACCUGGGAACUGCAUCCGAUACUGGAUGGCUUGAAUCCGGGAGAGGGAUGCAGAAUUCCAGGUGUAGCGGUGAAAUGCGUAGAUAUUCGCAAGAACACCAGUGGCGAAGGCGGCUCACUGGCCCGGUUCUGACGCUGAGGCGCGAAAGCGUGGGGAGCAAACAGG